GUGGUAUUUGGUACUGGUACUAGUUCGGCUAACUCUUUAACUAAGACAUGGUAGUAGUAGCGCAGAAGCAGGAACGCAUUACGGUCGGAUAUACCCCUUAAUGGGGUAAGAAGGUUCGUGGGUAUCAAUUAAGUGACGACGCCCUUCAUUUGCUAACUCCAGUCAUGAGGUUUGCGUAUUUAAAAUAGAUGUUCGGAAGAACGAGGCAAUUAUAGAGGAAGGAGGGGCGGCUAAUGUAAUGCCAGCAGCCGCGGUUAAAUUACUGGAGUAACCCCCAGUUUGAUAAAGGCGGCUUAAAAGAUGGAUAGCGAGUAGGAAGUAGAAGUAUGGGAAAACCUGAUAUUAGGUGUUCAAUCUGAAGUAUCGGCAGGAUCUUAUCGAGCGCGUGAACCAUGUAACCGGGGCAGAGGACCGGGAUUAGAUACCCCGUUACUCCAGGUGUUAAGUAUAGCGAAUUCAUAAGUCGAAUGUCUAAUUGCUUGCCGGGCAACUACGUCUCAAGAGGUAAAAGUCGAAGUACUUGGCGGUCUAGUGAUGAACCAGCCCGUGAGACUUGACGGUUAAUCCGAUAAUCCGCGUAAAUUCUACUCUUUCUUGAAUUCCCAGUUGGUGUAUGGCCGUCGAGUGCUUCUUUGAGGGAGUGGCAAGAUCCAUAUUAGUUUUUUUUCUGCAGACAUGUGGGAAUUGUUAAAUCUACAGGCUUGUAGUAGACGAGUGGAGUAAGUCAGGUCGUCAUGCCGCCCAUGAAGGAGGCUUAGUUGAGUCACAUUGAAUUAAAUCAAGCGGAACCGAGGAAGGAAGUAGCCGGGGGAAGAAGUAAUGGGUAGUAAUAAGAGAAUAAUUCGCUCUUAUGAAUUGAAUGAACUCCUAGGUGUACAAAUCGCCCGUCGUCCCCAGAGCCUGAGAAUUCCGGGGUAAGUCGUAACAUAGUAGGAAUACGGGAACGUGUCUCCUCGCUAUAA
rnacentral:rRNA from 1 species